rnacentral:sRNA from 1 species
GAUUUCAACAUACGAAUUUUGGGAAAACACAAACACUCAGAUCACACAAUUGAGGAGAAACCAGUGAAAACUAACUUUCAUGAGAAUGAAAAGGAAGAGGAAUUUGUCCGAGAAACAAGCCUUGAGGUCUUAAAAACCCUGGACCCACUGGUCAUUGGAAUGCCUCAGGUGCUAUGGCCAAGGAUCCUGACUUUUGUGGUACCUGCAGAAUACACAGAAGCUCUGGAGCCCCUGUUUAGUAUCAUCAGAAUUCUCAUUAUGGCAGAGGAGAAGAAGAAGCACAGUGCCAAGGAGUCGACAGCACUUGUCAUCUCUACGGGAGCUGGUCUGUACAUUCAUAAACACAGAAAACUUUUCUAUUAUGAGGGAUCUAUUUCCAGGAAGGCUACAGUGCUUUGACCUUAAACCCAACCCCAAUCUCUAACCCCUACAGUGAUGAUGAAAAUUGCUUUCUCUUUCUAGUGAAACUUCCUUCACCACAGCAGCUACUGGCCAGACUUCUGGUAAUAUCCAUGCCUGCCAGUUUAGGGGAGUUACGUGGGGCUGGUGCAAUAGGGCUUUUGAAGUUACUGCCUGAGAUAAUUCACCCAAAAUUGGUAGACCUAUGGAAAACACGUUUACCUGAGCUUCUGCAGCCUCUGGAAGGAAAGAAUAUCAGUACCGUUCUAUGGGAAACCAUGCUGCUUCAGUUGCUCAAAGAAUCCUUACGGAAGAUCAGUGAUGUGGCCUGGACCAUUCAGCUGACUCAGGAUUUCAAACAGCAAAUGGGCAGUUACAGCAACACCUCCAUUGAGAAGAAAUUCCUUUGGAAAGCCUUGGGAACCACCUUAGCAUCCUGCCAAGAUUCAGACUUUGUAAACUCACAGAUUAAGGAGUUUCUGACUGCUCCCAACCAACUGGGGGAUCAAAGACAGGGAAUAACAUCUAUUUUAGGAUACUGUGCCGAGAACCAUUUGGAUAUUGUUUUAAAAGUUCUUAAAACAUUCCAAAAUCAGGAAAAGUUUUUCAUGAAUCGAUGUAAGAGCCUUUUUUCUGGGAAAAAGAGCCUGACCAAGACAGAUGUCAUGGUCAUCUACGGAGCUGUGGCCCUCCAUGCUCCCAAGAAGCAACUUCUCUCCAGACUUAAUCAAGAUAUCGUAUCGCAAGUCCUGUUUCUUCACGGCCAGUGCUCUCAGGUUCUGGGCAUGUCUGUGAUGAACAAGGACAUGGAUCUGCAAAUGAGUUUCACAAGAAGCAUCACUGAGAUUGGCAUUGCUGUCCAAGAUGCUGGGGAUCAGGGGUUCCAGUUUUCCUACAAGGAGAUGCUGAUUGGUUACAUGCUGGACUUCAUUAGAGGCGAGCCCCUGGAUUCCUUAGCUAGCCCUAUUCGGUGGAAAGCCUUAAUCGCCAUUAGAUAUCUCAGUAAACUGAAACCUCAGCUCUCACUACAAGACCACCUUAACAUUCUUGAGGAGAAUAUUCGGAGGCUGCUGCCCCUUCCACCUCUGGAAAAUCUGAAAAGUGAAGGCCAGACAGACAAGGACAAGGAGCACAUUCAAUUUCUCUAUGAACGAUCCAUGGAUGCCCUAGGAAAACUUCUGAAGACCAUGAUGUGGGAUAAUGUGAAUGCAGAGGACUGUCAAGAAAUGUUUAAUCUUCUCCGAAUGUGGCUUGUUUCACAAAAAGAGUGGGAAAGAGAAAGAGCCUUCCAGAUCACCGCGAAAGUGCUGACAAAUGAUAUUGAGGCACCAGAGAACUUCAAAAUCGGUUCACUGCUUGGACUCCUGGCUCCUCACUCCUGUGAUACCCUGCCUACCAUCCGUCAGGCGGCUGCUAGCUCAACUAUUGGUCUGUUCUAUAUAAAAGGCAUUCACUUGGAAGUGGAAAGACUGCAGGGUUUGCAGGAAGGGCUGGAAAGUGAUGACGUGCAGGUUCAGAUCAAGAUUUCUUCUAAAAUAGCUAAGAUUGUCAGUAAAUUCAUCCCAAAUGAAGAAAUUCUGAUGUUCCUAGAGGAAAUGCUGGAUGGUCUGGAGAGCCUCAACCCCACUUGCACAAAGGCCUGUGGCAUAUGGAUGAUCACUGUCCUGAAGGAGCAGGGAGCUGCUCUGGAAGAUCAGCUAUUGGAGAUCUUAGGCACAAUUUACCAUCACAUGCCAGUCCUCAGACAAAAAGAAGAAAGUUUUCAGUUCAUGCUAGAAGCCAUCUCCCAGAUAGCCAGCUUUCACAUGGAUAUAGUUGUUGUCAACCUUUUACAGAAGCCUCUGCCCUUCGACAGGGACACAAAGACAUUGUGGAAGGCGCUGGCUGAAAAGCCAGCCUCCAGUGGAAAACUCUUGCAAGCCUUAAUAGACAAACUGGAGACUGAGUUAGAAGAUGACAUCGCCAGGGUUGAGGCCAUUUCAGUGGCCUGUGCUAUGUAUGAAGUGAUCUCAAUGGGCACCUCUGUCACCGGCUUGUAUCCAGAGCUGUUCACUCUCCUCCUGAAGCUGGUUAGCUGCACACUGGGCCAGAAGAUGCCCACUUCUCCCUGGAGCCGUAGGCGGCAUGUGAUGCAGCAGGGAGAACAGCAACAGAUCCCAGACCCCUGCAGGCUUUCAACUGCUACUUUAAAAUGUUUGCAAGCCCAAGCCAUGAGAGAAGGCCUUGCAAAGGAAUCUGAUGAGGGGGACAACUUAUGGACUCUACUCAGCAGUCCUAGUACCCAUCACAUAGGCGUAUGUUCACUGGCCAGGAGCGUGGCAGUGUGGCAACACGGAGUCAUAUUGGACAUCAUGGAACAGCUGCUCUCAUCUCUCACCUCCUCCUCGGAGAACUACCGGAUAACCGGCACAGCUUUCUUCUCUGAGUUUGCAGAAGGCAGAGAAAGGGGGAUAAUAAAUCUGUGAGGGAUGAAACAAAGCAUUGUAGCACUGACGCUUCAAAUUCCGGCCUAAAAACUAUUCCAGCCAAUCCAGAGAAGGAAAACUAUCAGUCAUUCCUGUUUUCCCUGCCCCAUUUUCCAUUGAGACUAGACAUCUGUUAUGCAGCUCAUGAAGGAGCCAAUCCUUUGGAAGCAUGGGAAUCUGCGAGAUGUGCUGAUCUUGAUGGAUCAAAGUGCCUGGGACUCCAACGCCACUCUGAGGCAGAUGGCCAUCCGAGGGCUUGGCAACACAGCAUCUGGGGCUCCUCACAAGGUGAAGAAACAUAAGCAGUUAAUGCUAGAAUCUAUCAUCAAAGGCCUGUAUCACCUGGCUCGCACUGAAGUCGUCUGUGAAAGCUUGAAGGCUCUAAAAAAAAUCCUGGAGCUGCUGACAGACCGAGAUGUGAGCUUCUACUUCAAGGAAAUAGUGCUGCAAACAAGGACCUUCUUUGAAGAUGAGCAGGAUGAUGUGAGAUUGACUGCCAUCUUCUUAUUUGAGGACCUGGCAUCCCUAACAGGAAGAAGGUGGAAGAUUUUUUUUGCUGAAGAAGUAAAAAAGAGCCUGAUUUCAUUCCUUCUGCACCUUUGGGAUCCCAACCCCAAGAUUGGAGUUGCUUGCCGUGAUGUCUUGAUGGUCUGCAUUCCCUUUUUGGGCCUCCAGGAACUCUACGGGGUAUUAGACCAUCUCCUUGAUCAGGAUCUACCAAGGGCCAGGGAUUUCUAUAGGCAAUUCUGUGUGAAACUGGCCAAGAAAAACCAGGAAAUUCUGUGGAUCCUCCACACACACUCCUUCACCUUCUUCACCAGCAGCUGGGAGGUGAUCAGGAGUGCAGCUGUCAAACUCACAGAUGCCGUUGUUCUCAAUUUGACCAGCCAAUAUGUGGAGUUAUUAGACAGAGAACAACUGACCACACGGCUGCAAGCACUUCGUCAAGAUCCGUGUGUUAGUGUCCAGAGAGCAGCUGAGGCUGCUUUGCAGACCCUCCUGAGAAGGUGUAAAGAGACAAGCAUUCCUCUGUAAGCCAUCAAGAAAUAAACUGCUGGCUUUUCCUA